GAGCAUAAGAAAAGAAGAUGACAAUAACGGAUAGACAAAAUAAAAAAAACUCAAUAGAAAAGUACGCAACGAAAAAAGGACCUACAUACAAGUUGCAACCCACCUCCAUGUCGCUCCCCCCUCCGCUGGAAGUUUUUCGACUCCUUUCACACAGGCACACAGCCCACCCCCGGAGCGGCGCCCACCUCUCUCGCCUCGCCUCGCCUCCUCCCUCUCUCCGUUCUCCAAUCCCGAUUGGGCAAUAGGCAACCGGCCACCAUCUCCAUGCGUCGGCCCUCCUCCGGCCAUGCCGCACCGCCGCCGAGCCCUUAACCCGACGCUGCCCCCGCCGCCUCCCGCCGCGGCCGCCGCGUUCCACCUCGCCGCGGACGACUCGCGGCUGCCGCUCCUCGCCGCGGACUACGCGCUGCUCCAGUCCGCCGCCGCCGCCGCCGCCACCGCCUCAUCCUUCGGCGACGCGCCCGCGGCCCCGGCGUCCGCGGAGUGGAGCGCCGGGAGCGCCUUCACCGCCUCCAGCGACGCCGCCACCACCACCGCCUCCUCCACCGCCACGGCGCCGGGCUCCGCCCGGCUGACCGCCGCCGAAGAAGAAGCCGGCGGGAGGGACACGUGGGUCCGCCGCGCCAGGGAGGGCUACUACCUCCAGCUCUCCCUCGCCAUCCGCCUCACCUCCCAGGCCUUCCUCGCCGGCGCCCCCGCCCCGCCCGAGCUCCUCCUCGGCUGCGGCCCCGGGGAUGCCGGCGACGGCGCGAAUGAUCCGGAGGCCGUCUCCUACCGGCUCUGGGUGAACGGGUGCCUGUCGUGGGGCGACAAGAUCGCGCACGGGUUCUACAACAUCAUGGGCAUCGACCCGCACCUGUGGGCCAUGUGCAGCGCCGCGGAGGAGGGCCGCCGGCUGCCGGCGCUGGCGGCGCUGCGGGCGGUGGACGCCAGCGAGUCCUCGCUGGAGGUGGUGCUCGUGGACAAGGGCGCCGACUCGGUGCUCCUCGACCUCGAGCGCCGCGCGCUCGACCUCGUCCGCGCGCUCGGCGUCACGCUCGACCUCGUCCGCCGCCUCGCCGUCCUCGUCUCCGACCACAUGGGGGGUGCGUUGCGGUCGGAGGACGGAGACCUGUACAUGCGGUGGAAGGCGGUGAGCAAGCAGCUGAGGAAGCGGCAGAAGUGCAUCGUCGUCCCCAUUGGAGGCUUGUCCAUCGGGUUCUGCCGGCACCGGGCCAUCCUUUUCAAGGAACUCGCAGAUUUCAUCGGCCUCCCAUGCCGGAUUGCGCAAGGUUGCAAGUACUGCUCUGCGCCUCACCGGUCAUCUUGCCUUGUCAAAAUCGACACUGAGAGGAGAUAUGUGAGGGAAUACGUGGUGGACCUUGUAGUUGAGCCGGGAAGCAUCAGCUGCCCAGAUUCAUCCAUCAACGGCCAGUUGCUCUCCAUAGUGCCUUCACCUUUCAAGACUUCGUGUACAGUAGGCUCUGGGAACUAUACUACACCAGUCACUGCCUGGAAUCAAAAGAUAGCGGAUGAGCGUCGCAACACAAUAAUAUCAAAUUCCCAGUACUCAGUUGAUAGGUGUUGUGUCGUGGAGGAGAACUCUGUUCAGGUAGCUAGCAAAGAAGGCAUGCUGCCAAAGAUCGCACAGAAUGGAAACUGCAAUGGCAUAUCAAUGUUAGACUUGGCGGCGCAAUUGAAGGCAAUAGACAUCAGUGCUGAGAAUGGCAACAAGGAGAAUAUCCCAGGUGUUACACUUCCGAAAAGCUUGAGCAUUGAACCAUCUUUUGCUGUAGAUUGGCUUGAGAUAUCAUGGGAGGAGCUCGAGCUCAAGGAACGCGUAGGCGCCGGUUCUUUUGGUACGGUGUAUCGCGCAGACUGGCACGGUUCAGAUGUUGCAGUAAAGGUGCUUAUGGAUCAGGAUGUUGGCGAAGCUCAGCUGAAAGAAUUCCUCAGAGAGAUUGCUAUUAUGAAACGAGUCCGCCAUCCGAAUGUGGUAUUGUUCAUGGGUGCGGUGACGAAAUGCCCACAUUUGUCAAUAGUGACAGAGUAUUUGCCAAGAGGGAGCCUCUUCCGCCUCAUCAACAAGGCAGCUAAUGGAGAAAUGCUGGAUCUAAAGCGUCGUUUGCGCAUGGCGCUAGACGUUGCAAAAGGCAUCAACUAUCUCCACUGCCUGAAUCCUCCUAUUGUCCAUUGGGAUCUGAAGACGCCAAACAUGCUGGUAGACAAGAACUGGUCCGUGAAGAUUCAAGGCGAACACCUUCAUAUCAUCCAAAUCAGUUGCUGGAACACCAGAAUGGAUGGCACCAGAAUUUCUCCGCGGCGAGCCAUCCAACGAGAAGUGUGAUGUUUACAGCUUCGGUGUGAUCUUGUGGGAGCUCCUGACAAUGCAGCAACCAUGGAGUGGCCUAGGUCCUGCUCAGGUAGUGGGAGCCGUUGCAUUUCAGAACAGAAGGCUCCCAAUUCCAAAAGAUACCAGUCCAGAACUUGCUGCUCUUGUGGAAUCCUGCUGGGAUGAUGAUCCAAGGCAGCGGCCUUCAUUUUCAAGCAUUGUGGAUACGCUGAAGAAGUCACUCAAGGCUCUUCUUGGAGGCUCAUGAGGACCCUUGCAAGCUGUCCUGGCUGCCAUUUGUCUCCACCUCUGUUUCAUGUUCCUCUUCUGCCUCUGUCAAUGCUAUGAUAGCUGAAGCAGCACAAGUGCAAUGCUGCCUCGAGUUCGAUAGGUCGCUCCUCUUUUUCCCACCUCAUGCAAAACCAAUAAAAUUCGGUGCUUUUGCUCUCCCAUGUCGCACUGGGGUAGCCUUUGUACAGCGAUUCUAGUUCUAAUAGAAGUUCCGCAGGCCCCAGGUUGGGAGGGUGGUCUGAAUAUCUGCUGUUCCUGAAUGUUCUAAAUGAUUCUAUUGGUUGUGCAAUAGGACUGAAGAGUCUGUUGCUUUAGGAGACAGGAAAAACAGUUUUGAUGCCAAAUAGAAUAGCUCACAGGAUAUGCCUAGACUUUCUAUACAGGUCUCAAACAAAACUUUCCAGGAAACAUCUGGGUGAAAGUGAAACUUAACAGUUCUGCAUUCAUUCUUUGUUC